UACGUAGGGUCCAAGCGUUAUUCGGAAUGACUGGGCGUAAAGGGCGUGUAGGUGGCUCGAGAAGUCUGGCGUCAAAUCUCUUGGCUUAACCAAGAGCUCGCGUUGGAAACCAUCGAGCUUGAGUCCUGCAGGGGUAAGCGGAAUUCCGAGUGUAGAGGUGAAAUUCGUAGAUAUUCGGAAGAACACCAGUGGCGAAGGCGACUUACUGGACACAUAUUGACGCUGAGGUGCGAAAGCGUGGGGAGCAAACAGG
rnacentral:rRNA from 1 species